CAACCCACGAAGCAGAGGGAGAGCAAAUGGAAACCUGUUGAACUCGUCUUUCUGGGAGAGGACGCUAAUUGGCUAAGCAGGUGAGUCUGAUCUUCAGUGAGUACAACAACAACAACAACAACAACAAAACACCCACAGUGUUCCCGAGAAGAUGAAGACCCUGUUUUCUUGCCCUCCAGUGGGGUGCUUGUAGGAUUAUAGAAGCCAGAAUCACUCUAGAAACUACAGGGAAAUCCUGUCUUGAAAAAACCAAAAAAAAAAAAAAAAAAAAAAAAAAAAAAGAAGAAGAA